rnacentral:tRNA from 1 species
GCCAGCAUAGCUCAACUGGUAGAGCAGCUGACGUGUAAUCAGUAUGUUUGGGGUUCAAGUCCUCUGGCCGGCACCA